rnacentral:rRNA from 1 species
UACGGAGGGGGCUAGCGUUGUUCGGAAUUACUGGGCGUAAAGCGCGCGUCGGCGGACCUGCAAGUCGGGGGUGAAAGCCCGAGGCUCAACCUCGGAACUGCCUUCGAUACUGCGGGUCUCGAGUCCGGGAGAGGUGAGUGGAAUUCCUAGUGUAGAGGUGAAAUUCGUAGAUAUUAGGAAGAACACCAGUGGCGAAGGCGGCUCACUGGCCCGGUACUGACGCUGAGGCGCGAAAGCGUGGGGAGCAAACAGG